GAGUGUUUACAGGGAAAAGAGACUCAACAUUGCAUUAGACAUGAUAACAUUAACCAUCAGGGAGUACAGGCCAGAGCCCUAGUAGAGGCCUCUGCAGGCUUCAGUAAAGGAUCAUGGGUAGAUUUUGGUGGAACUCAAGAUUCACUGCCAGGAUUUCCACCCUGUUUGAGACUCCGCCACGUUCCUUGCCGGGUUUUCCAGCCAACUGUGUCGGCUAUUUAAAAGGCCCUCCCACAAGAGAGGAAGAGGAAGACAGCGAGUAAGGAGACUGUGUGUUAGCUUGGAGUUUGUUUGGCUGUGAUUGAACAUUUGUAUGACGUGUUGUGUAUCACUUUGUUUUUCACAUUUUUGAACUUCGUCUUUGGCUUCGCCCCUCCUGCUUCGGUAGCUUUGUAUACAUACAUAUAUAUAGAUUGUGUAAAGAGUGUAAAUAUUGUUUGUUUGGUACAUUGGUGUUGGACACUGGUGGUAAGGAGUGACUGUAAUUUUUGUUGGUUGUGGGUUUUGUCUGUUUGUGUCAGGAAGUUAGAAAGGUUUGUUGUAUGUUUCUUGUGUUAUUAGGAUUAGUUAGUGUAUAGUUUUAUUUCCUUAGUGUGGGUUUUGGUUAUUAUUUUGGCCUGGGCCACUUCUGAAGGAAUUGCAGCAGUAAGAUUAUUUGUAAAUCAUAACCUCUGUACAAUACACUAAAAAAAACCUUCCAUUUGUGCUUCUGUUUGUUUUGUUGCUGUUCAUUUUAUUCCACAACUUCUGUUACUUUAGACAUUUGCACCUGACAGGGUCAUAACAAGGUAAUAAAAUGAUAUUGUAAGCAGAAAAAUAGGGAAGGUCCAGAAUAAACUGGUUUCAUGCUGGAAAGAUCUCUGUAGGCUUCAGUGUAAAUCCUCAGGAGGCCUCUGACAGGCCUCUAGGGGCCUCAGUCGAGGGGGAGUCUUGCUUCAAGGACGGGACAGCCCGUCCAAGCACCGGAAGAAACAAUAUGGACAUCACUGGAAGAACCAAUAUGGGCAUCCGGUGAUAUAGAAUAUGAUCGCCUUUAAAAAGUAGAAGUAGUUCAGGAUGAACGUAAUGGUACCAAGAACGGGUUGGUGUAAGUAUUGAAUAUCAAUUUGCAUACAUUGAAUAAUGUUUGGUGUGGAGAACAAUAGUGGAUCCUGGACAAAUAUUAUGAAAAAAUAAAAAUGGUGAUGUAAGGGUCCUUGAAGAAAAGGUGUAAAGGUGAGCCCACCUGAGACUGUUAGACUUUCUCCAGAUAAUGCCUCGUUUAUAACAUUGAGCUCAGAAUAAAGACGGGACCAGCGCUUCUCUUCAAUUAA